CACAUAAAGCCUUCAAUGGUCUUACUUAUUACAUCAAGUUUUUCUUUAUAACUUUAAAAAAAGUACCUUUUAGAUUUACAGCUUGUGCUUCUAAAGCAAAAGUUAGAACAUCAUGCCCAAAACGAAAACAAGGUAAAAAAGACGCUGCCACAUAAGCUCUUAAAAAUUGUAUGUUACAAAGUUCUAAAAUCUCUCCAGCACUGGUUGGUUGGUUGGUAGAUACAUCAGACUGUUCAACCACUGACAU